AUUGAACGCUGGCGGAAUGCUUUACGCAUGCAAGUCGAACGGCAGCACGGGGGCAACCCUGGUGGCGAGUGGCGAACGGGUGAGUAAUACAUCGGAACGUGCCCAGUCGUGGGGGAUAACGUAGCGAAAGUUACGCUAAUACCGCAUACGAUCUACGGAUGAAAGCGGGGGACCGUAAGGCCUCGCGCGAUUGGAGCGGCCGAGGUCAGAUUAGGUAGUUGGUGAGGUAAAGGCGCACCAAGCCGAAGAUCUGUAGCUGGUCUGAGAGGACGACCAGCCACACUGGGACUGAGACACGGCCCAGACUCCUACGGGAUGCAGCAGUGGGGAAUUUUGGACAAUGGGCGCAAGCCUGAUCCAGCCAUUCCGCGUGCAGGACGAAGGCCUUCGGGUUGUAAACUGCUUUUGUACGGAACGAAAAGGCUCUGGUUAAUACCUGGGGCUCAUGACGGUACCGUAAGAAUAAGCACCGGCUAACUACGUGCCAGCCGCCGCCGUAA
rnacentral:rRNA from 1 species